AUUGAACGCUGGCGGCAUGCUUUACACAUGCAAGUCGAACGGCAGCGGGGAGGAGCUUGCUUCUCUGCCGGCGAGUGGCGAACGGGUGAGUAAUACAUCGGAACGUGUCGAGAAGAGGGGGAUAACCACCCGAAAGGGUGGCUAAUACCGCAUAAAUUCUGAGGAAGAAAGCUGGGGACCUAGGAAUAGGCCUAGCGCUUUUUGAGCGGCCGAUGUCGGAUUAGCUAGUUGGUGAGGUAAAGGCUCACCAAGGCGAAGAUCUGUAGCGGGUCUGAGAGGAUGAUCCGCCACACUGGGACUGAGACACGGCCCAGACUCCUACGGGAGGCAGCAGUGGGGAAUUUUGGACAAUGGGGGCAACCCUGAUCCAGCCAUGCCGCGUGUAUGAAGAAGGCCUUAGGGUUGUAAAGUACUUUUGUUAGGGAAGAAAAGUCAGCUGUGAAUAAUGGCUGAUACUGAUGGUACCUAAAGAAUAAGCACCGGCUAACUACGUG
rnacentral:rRNA from 1 species